rnacentral:rRNA from 1 species
CCAAUAGCGUAUAUUAAAGUUGUUGCAGUUAAAAAGCUCGUAGUUGAAUUUCGGGGUUCAUCCGUUGGUCGGGCUUUUUUGGUCUGUACUGGCGUGAUGGAUUCCUACCUUCUGAAUAACCAGCAUGUCAUUAAUUUGGUGCGCUGGGGAAGCAGGACUGUUACCUUGAAAAAAUUAGAGUGCUUAAAGCAGGCUAUCGCCUGAAUACAUUAGCAUGUAAUAAUGAAAUAGGACGGCAUGGUUCUAUUUUGUUGGUUUCUAGGAUCACCGUAAUGAUUAAUAGGGAUAGUUGGGGGCAUUAGUAUUCAAUUGUCAGAGGUGAAAUUCUUGGAUUUAUUGAAGACUAACUUCUGCGAAAGCAUUUGCCAAGGAUGUUUUCAUUAAUCAAGAACGAAAGUUAGGGGAUCGAAGACGAUCAGAUACCGUCGUAGUCUUAACCAUAAACUAUGCCGACUAGGGAUCGGACGAUGUUAAUUUUUUAAUGACUCGUUCGGCGCCUUACG